CAUCUUCAGAGCUGUGUGUCCUCUGGUGAUAAAUGCAAAUGGAGCUUCUCAAGGGAGGUGGGGCUUUGGGGUUUCUCCUAGGUUGAUGCUGCCAACAAGGGACCAUGUUGUUAUCGCAGAACGCCCUCCCUCUUACUCUCAUCUGUCACAGGGUGAGGGCUCUCACCCAACACCAGCGCUUCCAUCUUGGCUUUUUCGGCUUCUAGAACGGAGAUGGCACAGGGUUCAUGUUGCUGAGGAGGACCAGAGGGCAUUGUGCAGACUAUCUCUAAUUUAAAAGUGACUAUUGGAUGUGGACACUGUGCUCCUUGGGUGGAGAAACCAAGGCAGAGCCCCACGGUUUCCUGGGACUCAGUUUUCUCUCAUGCAGAAUGGCGGCAGGGGUUGGAUAUACUUGGGAGGACCUCAAUCAUGCUGUGUCUUUACUUAGUGUGUUCGGCGGCUGCGCCAGGCACAAUAAUGGACCAAAGAUCUCAGAGUGGGCCAACUGUGAUCCUCUUGCUCUCCCUGCUCCCCCUCUUGCUCCUUCUGCUCCUCCUGCUCCUCUUCUUGCUGCUCCCCCUGCUCCUUCUCCUCCUGCUGGUUGCUGGUAUCCUGAAGAUGAAGAUCAAACUUGCCCCAAGGAUGCCCCUAAUCAGCAGGAAGCAGCUUAACUUGAUAUGGACACCUCCUUUCUCCUCCAACCUUCUUCCUCUCUUACCUAGUGUUGGGGGAUUGGAAGGGAUAAGGGUGGAGCAAGGCGUUAGAAAAAGGAAACGCAUAAAGGGAACCCUUGGCCAUCAGUGGAGCCCACAGGGCUGGGACUGGGAGCCUUCAGCACAGGAUGGGAUGGAAGUGUGGUUAUCAGGUGAGGUACCUCACUGAGUCUGGUACCCACUGGCCAUAGCAGCUCCGAAUGCAAAUGCAUCGGGCCGUGGACCACGGACGGACAUCGCUGACAAAUGACAUCAUUCUCCCAUGAUCAAACCCUCCUGGCACUGGAUGUGUUUGCUGUGAUGCCUGGGGCGAGGCCCCGUUCGCCACAAGGGGCGAGAUUAGUCCUAACACAACUGGACUGCAGAUAGAUGAGACCUGGUUCUGGAUUCAUCAGCUGGGAGGCAGAAGAGUGAGGGCUGCAGACAGGAGACUUGAGGGGUCAUAGAGUGGCCCAGGGUAGACCUGGGGACUCUGGUGUUGGGUUUUAUAAAAAAGAAAGGCAACCCAGGGAUACGUUUGGUAGAGGCAUGGUAUGGUGCAGGGGAAGUGGGUGCCUCUGUGGGUGUGCACCUCUCCCCUGAGGUACCAUAGUAUAGAAUUAGAGUUUAGGGCACAGAGAGGGAAGUUGAGGGGGUAGUAGAGACAGAGAAAGGUAGAGAGAAAGGGUCAGGGAAGGGGGAGAGGGAGAGUAGUAGAGGCUGGCCGUGAACAUGGAGAGAGAAGGGAGGGGAGGGGAAUGGGAGUAAGGGAGUAAGAGGCUGAGGAGGGGGCAGGCAGCCCCUUUUAUACUGAGGCCAGCACACCUGGCUGUUGCCAGGUAACUGUGGGGUGGAGCCUAGAAGAAAUGCUAACAUCUGGUAUCCCAGGAUUCCCUGCUCUUCCCAGCUGUGUUCAGCAGAUCUGCUCACACUCCCUAUCUACUGAGGAAGAAUCAGAGAGGUGAAUGGACUUGCCUAAGGUCACACACAGAGGCAGAGCCUGACUCAGCAGCCCAUCCUGGCUCUACCAGUGAUGGCCAGGUGGCUGGGUGGCAGGUGGGCGUGGAUGUGUGGUAGGAACUCAGAAGGGAAAGCAGAGUAGACCAAUUGAGGAUGGGCUGGGGAGAUGGAGAGCCUUUGGUGUCAGAGACUUGGCGUGGAUAUCAGAAUCUGCCAGUGAUGUCUACUCACCGAGUCUCGGUUUCCUCAUCUGUAGUUUGGGUGCAAUGAAUAUCGACUGGUGUGAGCUUUUUGAGGUUUCAGUGAUGUCUUGUGAGAUGUGUGUAGUGAACGAUUCUUCUGUCACCAUCCUGGUGGUUGUCUGGGGACUCAGUUAAGCUUUUGGAUUGCUAUGAACCCUAUGAACCCCAAUGACUCCUUCAUCAAGACGCAGAUGGGUUGGGUUCUCCUGCCCUCAGGAACGGGCAAUCGGGAAGGCUUGAUAUUUGAGGUCAUCAGACUGUUGGCUGGGACACAGGAGUGAUGACGUCCCUGUCACAUGGCAGGCUGGCUAGCAUCGGUAUUAUGCAAUCAAAAAGUGACGAAGACAGAAGAAGCUGGCAUACAGGUCUCAAGGGUCCAAGUCAGAGCUGCACAGGGGAAGAGAAAGGAGUUUGCCCCACUAUUUACAACAGGCCCCAUCUGGGGCCCUGAGCCAGCCUGGCUUGUGGAGUCCAUGGUUGUGGAGACAGACUCCAGGAAGGCCCUCAACCUCCUGCCAGUGUGAAUGUAGUCCAGCUUGCAAGAGAGAAGGAGCUCCUGUAAUGUCACAGGUCACUCAACAUUGGGGUUGUGACCUUAGACCUGUGCAGGGAGGAGACAUCCUAUAAAGCCUGUCUGUGAACCCAGAGAGUAAAGACUCUCCUCUCAGCCGCCUAUGAAAUCAAGAGAUUCAGUUAAUA
rnacentral:lncRNA from 1 species